rnacentral:rRNA from 2 species
GCGACGAUGCGUAGCCGACCUGAGAGGGUGAUCGGCCACACUGGGACUGAGACACGGCCCAGAUUCUUACGGGAGGCAGCAGUAGGGAAUCUUCCGCCAAUGGACGAAAGUCUGACGGAGCAACGCCGCGUGAGUGAUGAAGGUUUUCGGAUCGUAAAGCUCUGUUGUUAGGGAAGAACAAGUGCGAGAGUAACUGCUCGCACCUUGACGGUACCUAACCAGAAAGCCACGGCUAACUACGUGCCAGCAGCCGCGGUAAUACGUAGGUGGCAAGCGUUGUCCGGAAUUAUUGGGCGUAAAGGGCUCGCAGGCGGUUUCUUAAGUCUGAUGUGAAAGCCCCCGGCUCAACCGGGGAGGGUCAUUGGAAACUGGGAAACUUGAGUGCAGAAGAGGAGAGUGGAAUUCCACGUGUAGCGGUGAAAUGCGUAGAGAUGUGGAGGAACACCAGUGGCGAAGGCGACUCUCUGGUCUGUAACUGACGCUGAGGAGCGAAAGCGUGGGGAGCGAACAGGAUUAGAUACCCUGGUAGUCCACGCCGUAAACGAUGAGUGCUAAGUGUUAGGGGGUUUCCGCCCCUUAGUGCUGCAGCUAACGCAUUAAGCACUCCGCCUGGGGAGUACGGUCGCAAGACUGAAACUCAAAGGAAUUGACGGGGGCCCGCACAAGCGGUGGAGCAUGUGGUUUAAUUCGAAGCAACGCGAAGAACCUUACCAGGUCUUGACAUCCUACUGACAACCCUAGAGAUAGGGCUUUCCCUUCGGGGACAGAAGUGACAGGUGGUGCAUGGUGUCGUCA